rnacentral:ncRNA from 1 species
UGCCGCGCCGAGUGUGCAAGCGGAAACGCCCACAAAAGUUUGAUUGUAGACUUUGAACAACUCGUAGCGCGGUUUU